GUAUAAGAGACAGCAGCAGCCACGGGAAUACGUAGGGUGCAAGCGUUAAUCGGAAUUACUGGGCGUAAAGCGUGCGCAGGCGGUUUUGUAAGACAGAUGUGAAAUCCCCGGGCUCAACCUGGGACCUGCAUUUGUGACUGUAUAGCUAGAGUACGGUAGAGGGGGAUGGAAUUCCGCGUGUAGCAGUGAAAUGCGUAGAUAUGCGGAGGAACACCGAUGGCGAAGGCAAUCCCCUGGACCUGUACUGACGCUCAUGCACGAAAGCGUGGGGAGCAAACAGGAUUAGAUACCCCUGUAGUCCCUGUCUCUUAUAC
rnacentral:rRNA from 1 species